GCCGUACGAUGCUCUCUUUUCUAUACUUUUGUACUUCUUCUAUGUAUCAACAUGCACUUAGAAUUUGCGUGUUUCAUGGAUUUAUGCCAGAUGAUGUUUCUCGGUAACUCAAUUUUGCUGACCACUAUUCAGCUUUUGGCUUAAUUGAUAUGGUACGUACUCUCACAUAGUAAUUUGUGCUUCCUCUGAGCUAUAAACCAUACAAGAGUAUGUUGCCAGCAAUCCAGUGUAUGUGGAAGUUUUCAACAGAGUGAUUCCAUUGGCUUACAACAUCAUAAAGAGGAAUAAAGUCGGAGAAACUAACACUUACUUGGAUGGAACCUACUAUUGUUUCACUUAACCAAACUUGAAUCCAUUACUCCAGUGUAGACUGCUCUACUUCCCAUAACGACGUUAUCCGAUUUUAUUCCUUAAAGAUAUAGAAGUACAACUGAAAAGAUGAUGAACAUUGCAUGUGUGUAUGUGACCACAUUUAGGAUUCUAGAUGUUCCUUCCGAAUUAAAGUAAAUCUAUCUUUAUGUAUGUGUCGUUGUAUCAUUUUUUUAAUAGUGCUAUGUUUUCUUUAUCUACUGAGGAUGAGAAACUGUAAUGCAAUUUUUAUUAUAUCAGCUAUUUAAAACUCUUUCGUUUGAUGUGAAAAGUAAGUAUGGAUUUGAUGAUCGACUAUAUUAGUAUAUACGCAUACUAUAAACACAUGGGGACUAAUGACAUGGCAUAAAAGAAUAUGUUGAUAGCUUAGCAACAUUCUUGAACUCUGGGAGAGACAUCUGAGAAUUAGCAUAGUUUAAUAAGUAUAAAAAAUUUUUUGUUAUAGUUGGAUGGGUUAGAUGCAACGAUUUUUGAAUUGUGACUUUAUCAUUAUGCACAUGUUACAUUUCCUUUCUUCUUCUUUUUUUGACUAAUGCAGGUCAUAUUUCUUGAGUCAUGAGAUUCUCUGUUUCUUUGAGGUUUAUUUCUCUGUAAGAUUCAACAAAGCUGCUCGGAUUGUGGUAUGCCUAUCUGUGACUUUCUUUGAUUCAAGAGUUUUCAAUUUGAAUUCCAAGUUGUGUUUCCUUCUCUCAAGGGCAGAAGCUAGGUGCUUUUUUGACAUCCACCAAACCAGGAAUGAAAUUCUUUUAUUUGUAUUUGUUUUUUUUAAGUUUAAUUAUAUGAUUGAUUCUACCCAAAAAAAUAAAUAUACAUAUACACAACAGACUGCCCAUGAAUGAAAAUAUUACAAUUGCUAACAAAAUAAAAUAAAUAGAUAUUACGUAACUAAAAUAUAAAUAAGCUGAGUUUUUUUUUUAAGAAAAAAAAAAGUGAAGUUAAACCGUUUUUAGCGAAAACUCAAAUAUAAAAAUAUAUGAGUAAUGAAUCACAACUAAAGUUUAAUUAACUUUUCAUUGAAUUGCUUACCAGUCUAUAUAUUUUCUGUUAUUAACAAACAAGUUUACAAUUUUGAUACUUCCAAAUUGUUGUGCAGGACAAAAAAAGAAUAAUUUAACAUUUUUAAUGAUUUAUAUUUUCAUAAUCGUUCCACAGAUAUAUAUAUAUAUAUAUAUUCAAUUAUAAAUGUCAAAAUAUUAUAAACUUAAUAAAUUACGCAAAUAAAUCUGAGUCAGAAGAUAACUGGUAGUAUAAAUUUAUGACCUGAUUUACAUAUAUGUCAGGAAACAUCAACCAAAACAAUUUUUAAUAUUUUCUACUUCGCCAAAUCUAUACUAUACUAAAAGGGGCAUAUACUCAAUGGUGAGGCUGCCACGUCCUCAAAAAAAAUCGGCCAAUGAGAUGCUGCCACGUGUCAUACUCUUCACGAAAAAAGUUAAUUUACGUUGUGUUUUAAAUGGGCUUCUGUGGGCUUGCAGAUAUUAAGUUGCGCUGAAACUUAAUGAAUAUUGCUUUGUGCGUCUUCUCUUUCCAAAUUGUUUCGCCGUUAGGGUUCGUCCUGUGUUUCAACUCAGCUUAAGUCUAGCAUCUAUGGAGUUAUGAUUUUCUUAUAGAGAGAUAGUUCAUCGGUGUAAUCUUUGCGUCUCUAUCUGUUGGCGACGUUUCAUAUUUGAUUACUUACCCCAAUCGUUACAAGUUCAUUGAUUCAACAUUGAUUCAACCUCAUUAAUCAGUUCUUUACACUUACGACCCACUACAACCACGAUUAUGCAUUCAAUGUCUUUCUAUCCUCUUCUAAGUGGUUGAUCUACAGCUAUAAAAAGGCUGUUAGGUAUUCUUCCACCGUCGAGGUUAGAUUGCUCAGAUUCUGGGAAGCGUUUCACGCGCGGUGGGGAGUUGAUGGGAAUUGACAUGAUCUUCAUCGAUUCUAAGGUUUCUGUUUGUGAAGCUCAUGAGCAAUUUUUUCUUAUAAUAUUUCUGGUUUUUGUACUCAUAAUUCUUCAAAACGCUGUUUAAAGAUUUUUUCAGUUUUUUUUAUACGAUAAAGCAACUGUCUCGCAGUGCCACAGUGCAAUCAGAGAUUCAGGCUAACCGACUCUCCUCUAACCAUUCGCUUCAUGGACUAGCCAAUACAAACACACAUCUUCCAGAUAUUAUUGGAGAAUUCAUUGCUGUGAAGAGUACCAUGAGUGACGUCCCACAGGCCACAGGGAAAAUAAAAUGUUAUGGCAACGAUCAAAAAGGAUAAUAAUGUAUCUGUCUUUUGAGUCUGUUUGACUCACAAGCAGUGAUGUUUUGCAACAAACUGGACGUCUUUGGAGGUGAUCCAAGAGUUGUUGUCGGGACUAACAUCAAUCCUAAGAUUGUAGGAGGUUUGUAGCCACCUCCAUUCAUUGCAGAUAUGGUUUGGUAAGACAUACAGCUUCCAGGUCAGAUUAAGAAGAUACAAUUUUACUGCCAACCAUCAAACCUUCAUGAUAUCUUGCAUCAAGAACGAGGGUGACCAUCAGCCACUCCCCGACUUUGUUGCCAACGAUGGGUGACGAUGAUAAUGGAUAUGACAUGCCUGCGCUAACUUAGUACUCUCUAAGGCUAAAGCUGGUGGUAAUGACCAUUAGGAAUCAUCAUCUGCAGGAAUCUCUUCCAGUGGUCUCGCCAUAAAUAAGUCUCGCGUAUCAGCAGCUGUGAAGGUGUUUAAGAAGGCAUGAAAUGAAUAAUAGAAGAUUAUACAUUGUCUUGAGUCAAAUUUUGCGGUUUGAAUAAUGUUUUUGCACCGAUGUGUUUUCUUAUUUAAAUUAUGUCCUCCAUGGUUUGCUAUGUUUUUCUAGAACUCAUUAAAAUAAUGCUUUGUAAGAUUAGCAAAUACUUCCACCCCAAUAAAUCAAUAAAUAUGGGUUCAAUGCUUAUCACAUAUUUCCAUAAUAAAGUUUAAAUUUUUUACACCAAUACAAUAAUAAAUGUUCUAAUACCACAACCGAUUUAGUUUAGAAUAAAUCAAGAAUAACUAUACUAACUACAAGAAUCCAUAUGUGCUAGAAAACUAUACAUCAAAUAUAUUCAUGAGAUGGAUCUCUCUUUCUCUCUCUGUAGACAGUAAUAAAAUCAGAUCAGAAUAUCCAGUCUUAAGAAGAAGAAUAAUCACAGAUUUCCAUCUGCAGACGUCAUUAGAUGAAACAAUCACGAGUCUGAUUUUCAUAUAAACUGCAUUUCAAUCUAUUAUCAUUAUCCCUCAGACUGCAAGUUAAGAGGAAUAAACUUGGACAAACUCGCCUAUUAAAAUACGAUCAUUCGGCCCAAUGAUCCAUAGUCUGUAAUGUAAUAAUAAUUCAACUUAAACUAUUUACAACCCCUUUUUAUAAAUUGUUAUAACUAACAAACUUGGACAAACUAACUAGGUCAUAAAAUAUACAACCAAACUUCAGACAUUGUCUCCCAAGUAACUUACACAAGAUCAUUUAGGCCCAACAAGUCAUUAAAAGUAAGAAUACUCAACUAGAUUGAUACAUAAUGGAUUAGCAAAACAUAAUAAAUUCCUUUGAGCCUUAUUAAUAUUAAACAAAAAUUUUAAAAUAUGAAUUGUGCAUAAAACUUAUCACGCAAAGCAUGAAAUAUAACACUUACUAUGAUACAUUAUAUUACUCUAUUUGUUAUCAACCAAUGAGAAAACAGUUUUUAUUUAUUUGUAUUAUGACUAUUAUUUGUUAUUAUAUUUGGAUUUAAAUUUUUUAUAUUUAAAUAUAAAGUCUAAGGUUAAAAUUUUCUUAUUUAUAAAUUUAAAUUAUAAAAGUAUUUUCAUGGAGAAUAAAGUUUAUGGUUAAGUUUAUAGUUUAAAUAAUAAGAGUUUGUUUAAUAUUCAGGGUUUAAAGUUUAAAAUUUGUGUUAAGAAUUGUAUAUAAUAAAUAUAACUUAUUUUAAAAUUUGGGUUUUGGUGUUUAUAGUAUAGGGUUUAAGGUAUACUUUUAAGAUUUGAGUUUAACUAUUAAAUUUUCUUAGAAUUUAGAGUUUUAAAUUACGUUUGUAGUUUAGAUUUUCAAAAUUCUUUCAGAAAUCCGGUGGAAAAAAUAAAUUUUAUUUUUACGAUUUAUAAUAAUUAUACAAAUAUCUAAUUUUUUUAAAUGAACAGUUAAAAUUGUUGUAAUAAAAGGAGGAUAUAAUCCUUAGAUAGAGUGUCCACAUAGGCGAAAAUAAUCGGCCAAUGAGAAACUAUAUUUUUGCCAUAUCACCUCCUCUAUUUAUUUUUACAAAAUAAUCCUUCAACUUUUUACUUAAACAACUAUAACCGAAAAUAUUUUUUUAGUGAAUUAUAUUAUCUAUAUAAAUAAAAUUAUAUUUUUUAUUUACAUAAUAGUUUGUAAAGAAAUAUUUAGUGUAAAUAAUAUCAUAAUUUUAUAAAAUACUAAAAUAAAUUGGGUUGGUUUUCAACUUUCACAAAUAAAAAAUAUUAUUUGUAAACUUAGAAAAAAAUAUAUCAAGAAUAUUCAUUUUUAGGAGAGAAAAUAGAAAAUACAUCGGAGACAAAUCCAUCUCUAUUAUGAAAUUCCUCUAUUUUAGAGAAAAAAAUAAAAGAAUACAUUGGAGAUGGUUUAAGACAUGGCCGACGUAAAUGAUCGACGUAGAAAUUUUAGCUCUUCUGAUUCUUACUAUUCUAAAGUUUCAAUUUAAUUUGAAUAUUCUCUUUGUUUUGUAAUAUAAUGGUUUAAAGUAUUUUUUGUUUUACUAUAUAAAUUGUUUUUAUAUUUCAAUGUAACUUUAUAUUUAUUGGAUAUUGUGUGGUCAAUUAAAUUAUGUAAAUUACUGUGUAAUUGAUUAAAUUUAUAUAUUAAAUGAAAGUUUUCUAAAAGAAUAACUUUUAAAUAUUAUAGAUUUUAAUUAAAACUGAUUACAUUUUGAAACAUAGAGAGUAAUCUAUAAACUAACUCUAUAUAGAUAUGACGACAAAAUUGUAAAUUGGUUUCACCUUGAAUUUCUCACAUUAUGUGCAUUCCUAACUGGAAGGAGAUAAUCAACAUCUAAUAUUAUGUUACUCUCGGUAUAUUAGAAAUGGUCGAACCGUAAACCAAUUAAGGAUGAUGUAAGGAAGACAUAAAGAUGUAUUUUUAGUUAUCACAAAUAAAAAAAAUCAAUUGACAACAAUUUAAUCAUGUCCAGCAAAAGACAACAAAGAAGAGUUUUCAUACCUUCUAAUAUUAUAAUAUCUCACUAUAUUAUUGGCUAAAUUAGUUUUCUCUAACACAAAUAUUCACUCCAUUCUUGGAGUUUAAGCUUUUCUAUCUGAUGAUAUUAGUAGUUUGAUCCCAAAAAAAAAAGAAACGGUCGAACUGUACAUUAUAAUUGAAAAAACAAAACAAACAAAAAUCACCCAAAGACUUUUAAGGUAUAUGAAACAAAAAUUGGAAAUAACAAUUCUCUACAAUUAAAGAAUAGGGCAAUAAAUUUGUAAAAAUACAAAAUAAAACAAAAAAUAAACACAAAAAGAAAGAUU